rnacentral:rRNA from 1 species
AUACGUAGGGGGCGAGCGUUACCCGGAAUCACUGGGCGUAAAGGGGGCGUAGGCGGCCUGGUGUGUCCGGUGUGAAAUCCCACGGCUCAACCGUGGGGCUGCGCCGGAAACUACCAGGCUUGAGGGCGCUAGAGGGAGACGGAACUGCCGGUGUAGGGGUGAAAUCCGUAGAUAUCGGCAGGAACGCCGGUGGGGAAGCCGGUCUCCUGGGGCGUCCCUGACGCUGAGGCCCGAAAGCCAGGGGAGCAAACCGGAUUAGAAACCCCAGUAGUCC